rnacentral:rRNA from 1 species
AUUGAACGCUGGCGGCAGGCCUAACACAUGCAAGUCGAACGAGUGGCGGACGGGUGAGUAAUGUCUGGGAAACUGCCUGAUGGAGGGGGAUAACUACUGGAAACGGUAGCUAAUACCGCAUACCAUCAGAUGUGCCGAGAUGGGAUUAGCUAGUAGGUGGGGUAACGGCUCACCUAGGCGACGAUCCCUAGCUGGUCUGAGAGGAUGACCAGCAACACGGGAACUGGGAAACGGUCCAGAUUCCUACGGAAGGCAGCAGUGGUGAAUAUUGGACAAUGGGCGCAAGCCUGCUGCAGCCAUGCCGCGUGUGUGAAGAAGGCCUUCGGGUUGUAAAGCACUUUCAGCGGGGAGGCGUUACCCGCAGAAGAAGCACCGGCUAACUCCGUGCCAGCAGCCGCGGUAAUAC